UUAAGCGACUAAGCGUACACGGUGGAUGCCCUGGCAGUCAGAGGCGAUGAAGGACGUGCUAAUCUGCGAUAAGCGUCGGUAAGGUGAUAUGAACCGUUAUAACCGGCGAUUUCCGAAUGGGGAAACCCAGUGUGAUUCGUCACACUAUCAUUAACUGAAUCCAUAGGUUAAUGAGGCGAACCGGGGGAACUGAAACAUCUAAGUACCCCGAGGAAAAGAAAUCAACCGAGAUUCCCCCAGUAGCGGCGAGCGAACGGGGAGGAGCCCAGAGCCUGAAUCAGUGUGUGUGUUAGUGGAAGCGUCUGGAAAGGCGCGCGAUACAGGGUGACAGCCCCGUACACAAAAAUGCACAUACUGUGAGCUCGAUGAGUAGGGCGGGACACGUGGUAUCCUGUCUGAAUAUGGGGGGACCAUCCUCCAAGGCUAAAUACUCCUGACUGACCGAUAGUGAACCAGUACCGUGAGGGAAAGGCGAAAAGAACCCCGGCGAGGGGAGUGAAAAAGAACCUGAAACCGUGUACGUACAAGCAGUGGGAGCACAGAGCAAUCUGUGUGACUGCGUACCUUUUGUAUAAUGGGUCAGCGACUUAUAUUCUGUAGCAAGGUUAACCGAAUAGGGGAGCCGAAGGGAAACCGAGUCUUAACCGGGCGUUAAGUUGCAGGGUAUAGACCCGAAACCCGGUGAUCUAGCCAUGGGCAGGUUGAAGGUUGGGUAACACUAACUGGAGGACCGAACCGACUAAUGUUGAAAAAUUAGCGGAUGACUUGUGGCUGGGGGUGAAAGGCCAAUCAAACCGGGAGAUAGCUGGUUCUCCCCGAAAGCUAUUUAGGUAGCGCCUCGUGAAUUCAUCUCCGGGGGUAGAGCACUGUUUCGGCAAGGGGGUCAUCCCGACUUACCAACCCGAUGCAAACUGCGAAUACCGGAGAAUGUUAUCACGGGAGACACACGGACGGGUGCUAACGUCCGUCGUGAAGAGGGAAACAACCCUAGACCGCCUAGCUAAGGUCCCAAAGUCAUGGUUAAGUGGGAAACGAUGUCGGGAAGGCCCAGACAGCCAGGAUGUUGGCUUAGAAGCAGCCAUCAUUUAAAGAAAGCGUAAUAGCUCACUGGUCGAGUCGGCCUGCGCGGAAGAUGUAACGGGGCUAAACCAUGCACCGAAGCUGCGGCAGCGACACUGUGUGUUGUUGGGUAGGGGAGCGUUCUGUAAGCCUGUGAAGGUGUGCUGUGAGGCAUGCUGGAGGUAUCAGAAGUGCGAAUGCUGACAUAAGUAACGAUAAAGCGGGUGAAAAGCCCGCUCGCCGGAAGACCAAGGGUUCCUGUCCAACGUUAAUCGGGGCAGGGUGAGUCGACCCCUAAGGCGAGGCCGAAAGGCGUAGUCGAUGGGAAACAGGUUAAUAUUCCUGUACUUGGUGUUACUGCGAAGGGGGGACGGAGAAGGCUAUGUUGGCCGGGCGACGGUUGUCCCGGUUUAAGCGUGUAGGCUGGUUUUCCAGGCAAAUCCGGAAAAUCAAGGCUGAGGCGUGAUGACGAGGCACUACGGUGCUGAAGCAACAAAUGCCCUGCUUCCAGGAAAAGCCUCUAAGCAUCAGGUAACAUCAAAUCGUACCCCAAACCGACACAGGUGGUCAGGUAGAGAAUACCAAGGCGCUUGAGAGAACUCGGGUGAAGGAACUAGGCAAAAUGGUGCCGUAACUUCGGGAGAAGGCACGCUGAUAUGUAGGUGAAGUCCCUCGCGGAUGGAGCUGAAAUCAGUCGAAGAUACCAGCUGGCUGCAACUGUUUAUUAAAAACACAGCACUGUGCAAACACGAAAGUGGACGUAUACGGUGUGACGCCUGCCCGGUGCCGGAAGGUUAAUUGAUGGGGUCAGCGCAAGCGAAGCUCUUGAUCGAAGCCCCGGUAAACGGCGGCCGUAACUAUAACGGUCCUAAGGUAGCGAAAUUCCUUGUCGGGUAAGUUCCGACCUGCACGAAUGGCGUAAUGAUGGCCAGGCUGUCUCCACCCGAGACUCAGUGAAAUUGAACUCGCUGUGAAGAUGCAGUGUACCCGCGGCAAGACGGAAAGACCCCGUGAACCUUUACUAUAGCUUGACACUGAACAUUGAGCCUUGAUGUGUAGGAUAGGUGGGAGGCUUUGAAGUGUGGACGCCAGUCUGCAUGGAGCCGACCUUGAAAUACCACCCUUUAAUGUUUGAUGUUCUAACGUGGACCCGUGAUCCGGGUUGCGGACAGUGUCUGGUGGGUAGUUUGACUGGGGCGGUCUCCUCCUAAAGAGUAACGGAGGAGCACGAAGGUUGGCUAAUCCUGGUCGGACAUCAGGAGGUUAGUGCAAUGGCAUAAGCCAGCUUGACUGCGAGCGUGACGGCGCGAGCAGGUGCGAAAGCAGGUCAUAGUGAUCCGGUGGUUCUGAAUGGAAGGGCCAUCGCUCAACGGAUAAAAGGUACUCCGGGGAUAACAGGCUGAUACCGCCCAAGAGUUCAUAUCGACGGCGGUGUUUGGCACCUCGAUGUCGGCUCAUCACAUCCUGGGGCUGAAGUAGGUCCCAAGGGUAUGGCUGUUCGCCAUUUAAAGUGGUACGCGAGCUGGGUUUAGAACGUCGUGAGACAGUUCGGUCCCUAUCUGCCGUGGGCGCUGGAGAACUGAGGGGGGCUGCUCCUAGUACGAGAGGACCGGAGUGGACGCAUCACUGGUGUUCGGGUUGUCAUGCCAAUGGCACUGCCCGGUAGCUAAAUGCGGAAGAGAUAAGUGCUGAAAGCAUCUAAGCACGAAACUUGCCCCGAGAUGAGUUCUCCCUGACCCUUUAAGGGUCCUGAAGGAACGUUGAAGACGACGACGUUGAUAGGCCGGGUGUGUAAGCGCAGCGAUGCGUUGAGCUAACCGGUACUAAUGAACCGUGAGGCUUAACCUU
rnacentral:rRNA from 1 species